GUACACUCCUGCGGGAGGCAGCAGUGGGGAAUUUUGGACAAUGGGCGAAAGCCUGAUCCAGCAAUGCCGCGUGUGUGAAGAAGGCCUUCGGGUUGUAAAGCACUUUUGUCCGGAAAGAAAUCCUUGGCUCUAAUACAGUCGGGGGAUGACGGUACCGGAAGAAUAAGCACCGGCUAACUACGUGCCAGCAGCCGCGGUAAUACGUAGGGUGCGAGCGUUAAUCGGAAUUACUGGGCGUAAAGCGUGCGCAGGCGGUUUGCUAAGACCGAUGUGAAAUCCCCGGGCUCAACCUGGGAACUGCAUUGGUGACUGGCAGGCUAGAGUAUGGCAGAGGGGGGUAGAAUUCCACGUGUAGCAGUGAAAUGCGUAGAGAUGUGGAGGAAUACCGAUGGCGAAGGCAGCCCCCUGGGCCAAUACUGACGCUCAUGCACGAAAGCGUGGGGAGCAAACAGGAUUAGAAACCCGAGUAGUCCCAUGAU
rnacentral:rRNA from 1 species